GCCCAGGAGCUCUGUGUCCAGAACACAAUGGGAAGGAUGAGGAGGGAGAUCUUGGGAGAAUUGGUUGUUCCACCCUGGCUUUUCUGGUUGUGCUUUUCUUCAACUUGCUCCUGUCCAGAGACAGAAGCACAGCUUUUCCUCUCCAGGCAGGUCUUUCACAGGCAUAAAUCAGUGUAAAUUUACUCUAGUCAAUGAUGCUGAUUUACAGGAGCUUUGAGCCCCCCUGUGCUUUUCAGCCUUUGUUUCCAAAACAGAUGAGAAAGAGUAGGGACCAGGCGAAUGUUUCUGCAGGUGCAUUUGCUGCCAAACUUUGGUCACUCCCCUGCUUUUUGUCCUGCUUCUCAGCCACCCUGGUGAACCAGCACACUUGGAGAACAUCUGGACCUACACUCCACCAGACUCCACUUCAUCGGGGUUCCUGUCCCCCCGAGCGCUGUCCUUGGCAUUACUGCAGCUCUGUGCUACCUCCAGAUCAAACCAGAAGUGCUGCUGGAGGGGCUGGAGACGGCUGGAUGGGUCUGAACAGGACAGGCAACAGGAGUCACUGCAGACAGCACCCACGGAGACCCAGGUGCGGUGGUGGGGGCGUGUGCGGCAGGAUCCGCCGUCCCCGGGAAGGGCCGCUGUCUCACCCCCAGGAGCGCCGCAGGGCCAUGCGGUGUGUGUGGGGCUCGUCUGUACAGAGCGGGGCUGCUGAACCGUGCCUGUGAUCCCCUGUAUCUGCAGGGAUGCUUAAAAUAGCCCUCGGAGUGUGGCUUCUUUCCGUCACUCUCCUGCCACAAGGCAGGACAAACGCCUUUAUAAACUGCUGAUGGUGGUUUUUCUUGUCAGCGAAGGUUUUCCUGCUCCAAGGCAUCUUCAGGGCAAUGGCCUCGUUCCUUUGCUUUGUUUGUGUAGUUCCUGGCACAGCCCUUGUGCCAUGUUAAUUAUCUUCCACGUGGAAUUUGUUUUGUGCCAGCAGAAAUGCACUCAGGUCAGAAUAUGAAGUGAAAUAAAAAUAGCUCCUUUCCCCA